rnacentral:rRNA from 1 species
GGUUAAAAAGCUCGUAGUUGGAUUUCUGUCGAAGACGGCCGGUCCGCUCUAUGAGCGUGUAUCUGGUUCGGCUUUGGCAUCCUCGUGGGGAACGUAACUGUGCUUAAUUGCAUGGUGCGGAAUUCACGACUUUUACUUUGAGGAAAUUAGAGUGUUCACGGCAGGCAAGCGCCUUGAAUACAUUAGCAUGGAAUAAUAAUAUAGGACUUUGGUUCUAUUUUGUUGGUUUCUAGAACUAAAGUAAUGAUUAAUAGGGAUAAUUGGGGGCAUUUGUAUUAACGCGUCAGAGGUGGAAUUCUUGGAUUGCGUUACGACAAACUACUGCGAAAGCAUUUGCCAAGGAUGUUUUCAUUGAUCAAGAACGAAAGUAUGGGGAUCGAAGAUGGUUAGAUACCGUCGUAGUCUAUACCAUAAACUAUGCCGACUAGAGAUUGGA